rnacentral:rRNA from 1 species
UACGGAGGAUGCGAGCGUUAUCCGGAUUUAUUGGGUUUAAAGGGUGCGUAGGCGGCGAGUUAAGUCAGCGGUAAAAGCCCGGGGCUCAACCCCGGCCCGCCGUUGAAACUGGCAGUCUCGAGUUGGAGAGAAGUAUGCGGAAUGCGCGGUGUAGCGGUGAAAUGCAUAGAUAUCGCGCAGAACUCCGAUCGCGAAGGCAGCUUACCAGACUGAGUCUGACGCUGAUGCACGAGAGCAUGGGUAGCGAACAGG